AACACCCAAGGGCGAAUGAAAAAUGGGCUCAGAACAGCAUAACAUAUUAACUGAGAGUAGGAAUUAGAAUCAUAGUCUAAUUUAAAUCUCAGUCCUGAGGCAGCAGCAGGAUCAGAAAAUAUGAUAUUGAAUGAAAUGGGCACCAUUCCAACUUCACAAAACUUGGAUCCUAACAGGUUCCCUCUUCCAUAUAUGCAUUCCAAUCUGUAACUGGAUUAAAAAAAAGUCUUUUGGGUGAGAUGGAGCUCCCAAUAAAUGAUUUUUGGCUCAUCUUUCCCAGCGGGCAAAGCAUUUGUGGUGGGAACUGAAAUUGCCCCCUCAAGCAUUAACUAACGCCCUGACUCCAGCAACACCCUGCAUGAUUGACCCCAACACCGUGGCCGACCUGACCUUUACUGCCCAGCACACCGACCCACUGCCCUUUGCCCUAUAUUGGAGACAGCAGCAUUCUGGAGACAGUCUCUGAUACACUAGUCUGCUGUCCUGGUGUUGGCCUCCCUGAAAUAAAUUCUGUUCUUGCUUCACCACCCCUGGGUUCUCUGCCUUUGGAUUUUGUCAGCAGCGAUCUAACAGGGUACACAGCCACAGAAGUUCUGCUGGUCUGGCUGGACUGCAGAGGACUGCAAUCUGCUGCUGGCUUUGCAGACUGCAGCACGUCUGACCCAGGAUGGAUGAACGGGUACGAACUCCAGCAUCCGAGAACCUUCUCUUCUGCUGAUUGAAGAGGAAUACCGGGGAGAGGAAAACACACCACGACGGGAGUUUGAUCUUGUUUUGCUACAUAAUCCUUUUCGUAAAAUUGUACUCGUUCCCUGCUUUUCUGAGUGUUUUGCCUCCUCACUCAAUUACUGUUCACUCAGCUCUGAUUGCUUAACAGGGAGUUGCUGAAACCCAAGAAGCACCUGGCUCACUCUGCACCACCUGUGUACUAGAAAGAUCUGCUGUCCUCUGUCCACAGACGGUCACUUCAAAGUGGAGGGGACAAAAAGGAAAUUAUAGCCCCACCCCCAAAGACUGUUUGAGGAGUCAUGGGCUGCGUAGAAGCUACUCAGGAAUCAAUGCGGACAAAAUGAGCCACCAUCACUAUCUCGUUAUUUAUUAGCAAAAAUUUGUUAUUAAAAAAACCUGUGAUAGAUGUUUUCAUGGGCAGAGAUUAAAGUGGCUCUGUCACUGAACACUGAAGUCUAUUUGAAUGGAAAGAUGAAGAGAUGGAGGUUGUAUUCUAUAAUUUCCUCUGGAUUAUAAUGAUCAUAUUUGGUAGACACAAAGCCACAGUAAUAUCAAUACACUACUUCAAAAUGUCAA